GCGGGGUAAAGCCAGAGGA
rnacentral:snRNA from 1 species